CUCUCUCUCUCCAUUUUAGGUAUGAAUCAUGUCAGUACAGUGAAAGAUGAAGAUACGCAUUUCUGAAGUAGGAGUGUGCAUAUGAUUAAAGGAUUUGAUCAGAGGACUCUGAACUGUAGUUCCUUCCUGCUCCAGGAGGGAUACCUGAGGUACCAAAGCUCUGAAGAACAGCAGUGAGGAACUCAAUGAUAGCUGCUCUCUCUCAGAGCCUUCCAUCAAAAGACAACAUUCUCCCCAAAGAAAGGACUGAUUCUUUUUGAAGCCUAGCCAGCAGGGGGCCAGACUCCUGCCUGCUGCCUAACCACACGGAUCUACACUUCAGCACCCUUGCGCCCCAGCCAGCCCUUCCUCCACCCAACACCACAACCUGGAGCCUGGGGCUGACCCUCCCGUGCCCCCUGCCGGCCUGGGCCUGCACCCUGGACACCGGGCCACACCGCUACCACCAGCCACAGCCCUACGCCACUGAGCCUGCUGCUGACCACUGCCACCUGCCAGAGGCUCCCUGAACCCGCUGCCACCCACCGAGCCUGCUCUCAGCCGCCACCAUGUCGGGCCCCCCACCCUUUGACACCCAGGGACGGGGGCCCAACUGGACACACGAGGAGACCUCCGACCUCAUUGCCAUCUGGGGGGACAUCAGCGUCCAGCAGCAGUUUGCCCGUGCUACCAGGGCCAACGCCCACGUGUUCCAGGAGAUGUCCUGGCGGAUGCAGGAGCGUGGUCACCGGCGGUCCGGCCACCAGUGCCGGGUGAAGGCCAAGGCCCUGAGGGCGCAAUUUGUCCGCGUCCAGGACCAUAAUAGGCAGCCUGGGGCUGCCCCCAGAACCAUGCCCUUUCUCCGUGAGCUCGAGAGGAUCCUGGCCCCCACAGGCCCUACUGAGGCCCCUCCCGUGUUCUGUAGCACGGGCGGACUUGAGGAGCCUGUGCCAGGGGCUGCGGGUCAGGAGGACUCUCCAGGGGAGGGCACCUCGUGGCUCCCUCACCAGGUCCCAGCACGCUCCCCGCCCUCAGCCUCACCCGGCAGCUCAGACAGCCCGGGCCACCACUUG